UGAAUACGAGAUGCUACGGCGUCGAAGCAGUGUAUGUCAGACUUCCAAGAAAAGCUCGCAAUGUCAUAGAUAAAGAAUGCCUGUACCAUAACCGACACAGGUGGGUAGGUAGAGUAUACUAAGGGGCGCGAGAUAACUCUCUCUAAGGAACUCGGCAAAAUGACUCCGUAACUUCGGGAGAAGGAGUGCCUUAUUUAUAAGGUUGCAAUAACAAGAUCCAAGCAACUGUUUAUCAAAAACACAGGUCUCCGCUAAGUCGUAAGACGAUGUAUGGGGGCUGACGCCUGCCCAGUGCCAGAAGGUUAAAGAAGCCGGUUAGCAUUCGCGAAGCUGGUGACUGAAGCCCUGGUGAACGGCGGCCGUAACAAUAACGGUCCUAAGGUAGCGAAAUUCCUUGUCGGGUAAGUUCCGACCCGCACGAAAGGCGUAAUGAUUUGGAUACUGUCUCGGAGAGGGACUCGGUGAAAUAGACUUGUCUGUGAAGAUGCGGACUACCUGCACCAGGACAGAAAGACCCUAUGAAGCUUUACUGUAACUUGAAAUUGAAAUUGGACUUUAUUUGCGCAGUAUAGGUGGAAGGCGUUGAAUCUACUCUUGCGGGAGUAGUGGAGCCAUCAGUGAGAUACCACUCCUAUAAUGUUAGAUUUCUAACUUUGGAUCAUGAUCUGGUCAAAGAACAGUUUCAGGCGGGCAGUUUGACUGGGGCGGUCGCCUCCCAAAUGGUAACGGAGGCGUACAAAGGUUUCCUCUGAACGGGUAGAAAUCGUAUCUAGAGUGUAAAGGCAUAAGGAAGCUUGACUGUGAGACCUACAAGUCGAGCAGGGACGAAAGUCGGUCUUAGUGAUCUGACGGUGCUGAGUGGAAAGGCCGUCACUCAACGGAUAAAAGUUACUCUGAGGAUAACAGGCUGAUCUCCCCCAAGAGUUCACAUCGACGGGGAGGUUUGGCACCUCGAUGUCGGCUCAUCGCAUCCUGGGGCGGUAGUACGUCCCAAGGGUUGGGCUGUUCGCCCAUGAAAGCGGUACGCGAGCUGGGUUCAGAACGUCGUGAGACAGUUCGGUCCAUAUCCGGUGUAGGCGUUAGAAUAUUGAGAGGAGCCUUCUUUAGUACGAGAGGACCGAGAAGGACAUACCUCUGGUGUACCAGUUAUCGUGCCAACGGUAAACGCUGGGUAGCUAUGUAUGGAGAGGAUAACCGCUGAAAGCAUCUAAGCGGGAAGCCCACUCCAAGAUGAGAUAUCCCAUGGUGUAAUAACCAUCUGAAGGCUCGUUGUAGACUACAACGUUGAUAGGUCGGGUGUGGAAGUGUGGAAACACAUGGAGCUAACCGAUACUAAUCAGCCGUGAGGCUUAUCC
rnacentral:rRNA from 1 species